UACGUAGGGUGCGAGCGUUAAUCGGAAUUACUGGGCGUAAAGCGUGCGCAGGCGGUUCGCUGUGUCCGAUGUGAAAUCCCCGGGCUUAACCUGGGAACUGCAUUUGUGACUGCAUGGCUGGAGUGCGGCAGAGGGGGAUGGAAUUCCGCGUGUAGCAGUGAAAUGCGUAGAUAUGCGGAGGAACACCGAUGGCGAAGGCAAUCCCCUGGGCCUGCACUGACGCUCAUGCACGAAAGCGUGGGGAGCAAACAGG
rnacentral:rRNA from 1 species